rnacentral:sRNA from 1 species
GAAGCUUGCGCGAAGAAGGGGAAGUGUGCGGCAGUCCGCGCCUCCCCGCCUUCUCGCGGCUGCCCGGCCGAAACCAAACCGAGGGGUGGGGUGGCGAGGACAGGGUUGUGGCAGCACUGCCUGAAGGUAUGAGACCAGAUUCUAAUCUUUAUGGUUUUCCAUGGGAAUUGGUGAUAUGUGCAGCUGUUGUUGGAUUUUUUGCUGUUCUCUUUUUUUUGUGGAGAAGUUUUAGAUCGGACGAGAGAAAAAGCUUGCUCUAAUGCUUUCUGGACUAAUUGAAGAAAAAAGUAAACUACUUGAAAAAUUUAGCCUUGUUCAAAAAGAGUAUGAAGGCUAUGAAGUAGAGUCAUCUUUAAAGGAUGCCAGCUUUGAGAAGGAGGCAACAGAAGCACAAAGUUUGGAGGCAACCUGUGAAAAGCUGAACAGGUCCAAUUCUGAACUUGAGGAUGAAAUACUCUGUCUAGAAAAAGAGUUAAAAGAAGAGAAAUCCAAACAUUCUGAACGAGAUGAAUUGAUGGCGGAUAUUUCAAAAAGGAUACAGUCUCUAGAAGAUGAGUCAAAAUCCCUC